AAGGUUUGAUUAACUUAUGAAUGGGCAUCAUGCCACGUAAACAGAUGAGGUAGAGUAGGUAGAAUAUAAACAGAAUGUAUCUGUCAGUGUAGCCAUUGUGCUGGUAUAAUCCAUGAUUUCAUUCUAAGUAACUGUAUUAAUGUACAUAUUAAGCCAUAGUCACCUAGAGCAUAAACUCUUUAAUGACGAACAGGGACUUUUAGAAGCUGCUAAAAAAAAUUUUAUGCCAGUAGGAUAAUGUGCUAUGUAUUAAGGCAACUUAAUAAAUUAUACAAGCUAAAAAAAAGAUGUUUAGGUUCCUAUUUCUCAUUCAGGGCAGAAUCCUUGGGC
rnacentral:lncRNA from 1 species